AAACAGCUGCAGCUUCCUUCAUUCCCUGUACUACUGGCAUUCCUUGAACAACGCACAGUAGCCAUCUCUUCCCACAAUAUGACCAAGUCAUCUGGAAGUAUGCACAGCUAGACCAGGAGUGAUGUUGCUAACCCUGCUGACCCAGGAAGGGGAGAACUGAGGAGCACUUCAGAUCACUCCUCUGUGAAGGGUGUGAUGGAGAUCAAGUCUGUGGAAAAUCAUCACAAAGAAUGUCCCACAAGCUUGCCAUGAUUACAUGCUGGAUAUAUACAAAAUGGCAUUCCCGCCUCGAGCGGGGGCGUUUGCCGGCAGCCCAUUGCUAGGAAGACUCGGGAAGGUUCUAGAAGGAUAUCAAGUUAGUCAGAAUUGGGGUCCUUGAAGCAGCAGCACCUUGAGUUGAGUCUACCAUUCAGACAGCACAGGCCUUCCCAUCCGCGGCAACAGUGGCUUCCACUUCUUCCCCACUUUGUGACUCCAUUGGUACUGGUGAUCCCCAGGAACGACCUCACCUUGACCAACCUUGCAGUCAAGCUCUCCCUACUGCUCCUUCCGGGGUGGUUGCUCCUGCAGUCGUCGCUUCUCCAGCUGCUUAUACUGGUGUGCAGAGCCUGCCAGUUCCUGCGAGAGUCAUCCUCUGUGACCAUUCGAUUCUGUUUGGGGCACACCGGCGGGCCUUUUCUUCUCUUCUCGGCAUGCAGCUGCAGCUUUCCGCUUGGGCGACAGUUAGCUGGGAAGCUUGGAGGGGUAUGCUGUGGGAUGCAUUAAUGCCUUUGCUGUGCUGUGUUAUGGCUUCAGCCGACCGGCCACAUGUUUUGGUGGUGCAUUUGGGGGAGAAUGACUUGGUACAGCGGCCAGCUAUGGAUUUGCUGAUCAAAGUCACUCGGGAUUUCACUAGCCUCAUACAGUCAUGUCCUGAUCUUAUUCUUGUAUGGUCGGACAUGCUGGUGAGGAGAGUUUGGAGGGGGAUGCAGCACCCCAACAGGAUCGAUAAGGCCAGGAAGUGGGUGAAUAAAAGGGUUAGGGACUUGGUUUUGUCCUUAGGCGGGACUUACAUUCCUCAUGAUAGGAUUAGGUUUCACUCCCCGCAUUUAUUUCUCAAUGAUGGCGUCCAUCUCUCGGAGAGCGGGUGUGGUUUUUUAUUGGAGGAUUUUCGGCUGGGUUUGGGUGCUUUGUUUUCUUUGGGUUGAGGGGACCAAGCUUCAGCUGAUCCCCGCUUGUGGCAUGGAAUUCAGGCACGUGAGGUAAUGGGGGUUAAAAGUAAGGAGGAUGAGCCAUUUUGGUAAAGGGCACUUCCUAGGGAAACUUCAGGUUGUAAUGUCUUUGUGGAUCUAGGGAGUGUCCACGUGGGACCAGUUUGUGCAUCAGGGUAAACGCUUGUACGGCGGGGCCAGGAUGUGGGGGUUGGAACCACAUACCUGACUCCAAUAGCAAGGAGGGAUAAAUUUUCCCAAAUCCUUGACUGGGGAGUUAUAGUCCGAUGUGACUGAGUUGCCUCUGUAUUGGAGCGUCUAUACCCUACCAGAUAGGUGGAGCCUCACCUGCCCGAACUAUUUUAUAUAUAAUGAU